rnacentral:tRNA from 1 species
CGGCGCGUAGCUCAUAGCGGGCAGAGCGCUCGACCGAUAAUCGAGAGGUAGGAGGUUCGAUCCCUUCCGCGCCGA